rnacentral:sRNA from 2 species
UUGAAAACGCUUCGCUAGUGGAUCCUGCGUCCGGCACGGGCGCCUCAUCCACCCUGUGCCGCACACGACCCGCCCGGUUGUCCCCCCGGGCGGGUC